CAGCCGCCACGGUAAAACAGAGGGUGCAAGCGUUAAUCGGAAUUACUGGGCGUAAAGGGCGCGUAGGUGGUUGCGUAAGUGAGAUGUGAAAUCCCCGGGCUUAACCUGGGACGUGCAUCUUAUACUGCGUAACUGGAGUGCAAGAGAGGGUAGUGGAAUUUCCGGUGUAGCGGUGAAAUGCGUAGAUAUCGGAAGGAACACCAGUGGCGAAGGCGACUCUCUGGUCUGUAACUGACGCUGAGGAGCGAAAGCGUGGGGAGCGAACAGGAUUAGAUACCCCAGUAGUCCCUGUCUCUUAUAC
rnacentral:rRNA from 1 species